ACUGAUAGGGUUAUGUGUUAUGUGUUUAGGUUAUUCUGUGUAUUUAAAUAUAACAGAAUUAUACUGUGAUUCUAAUAUUGGAGAUCUAUAUUAUUAAUAUUAGGUCUUCGGGUAAAGCGUUAUAAAUUGCGUUGCGGUAAUCAACGGUUCAGGCAAGUUUGUUCUUACUUAACUCUACUAAGAGUGUUUUAUUCAAGCUUAUGGUUAAAUCAUUGCUGAUUUCCAUGAAAAUUUUACUAUGUACAUCUUGCAUGUAUAAGUCAGGUAUGAAAGGCUGAUCACCUUAAUUACCAGUUGGUUCAGAAAUGUUUGUUCAUGUUUAAAACUUGUUCAGUCAAAAAAAUUUGUUCGUGCUAGUUCUCAAUUAUAUUGAUGAAUUAUAGCAAGCCCAUUAUUCAUACUCUUCAAUCAUGAUAUAUCGUUAUAUUGUUGUAUUUAAACUUGCUGGGCAAUUUUCAUGCUCACC
rnacentral:lncRNA from 1 species